rnacentral:rRNA from 1 species
AGGACGAACGCUGGCGGCGCGCCUAAUACAUGCAAGUCGAGCGACGAAACCUUCCUUCGGGAAGGCUGAAAGCGGCGAACGGGUGAGUAACACGUGGGUAACGUGCCCCGAACUCUGGGAUAACAACGGGAAACCGUUGCUAAUACCGGAUGACCCCUGCGGAUCGCAUGUUUUGCAGGGCAAAGAAUUUCGGUUUGGGAUCGGCCCGCGGUGUAUCAGCUUGUUGGUGGGGUAACGGCCUACCAAGGCUUUGACGCAUAGCUGGCGUGAGAGCGCGACCAGCCACACUGGGACUGAGACACGGCCCAGACUCCUACGGGAGCAGCAGUAGGAAUCUGCGCAAUGGGACGAAAGCCUGACGCAGCGACGCCGCGUGAGCGAUGAAGGCCGUUCGGGG